GACGAACGCUGGCGGCGUGCCUAAUACAUGCAAGUCGAGCGGACGAAUCGAAAGCUUGCUUUUGAUUCGUUAGCGGCGGACGGGUGAGUAACACGUGGGCAACCUGCCCUGUAGACGGGGAUAACACCGAGAAAUCGGUGCUAAUACCGGAUAACACGAAAUGUCGCAUGACGUUUCGUUGAAAGACGGCGCAAGCUGUCGCUACAGGAUGGGCCCGCGGCGCAUUAGCUAGUUGGUGAGGUAACGGCUCACCAAGGCGACGAUGCGUAGCCGACCUGAGAGGGUGAUCGGCCACACUGGGACUGAGACACGGCCCAGACUCCUACGGGAGGCAGCAGUAGGGAAUCUUCCGCAAUGGACGAAAGUCUGACGGAGCAACGCCGCGUGAGCGAAGAAGGCCUUCGGGUCGUAAAGCCCUGUUGUUAGGGAAGAACAAGUAACGCAGUAACUGGCGUUACCGUGACGGUACCUAACGAGAAAGCCACGGCUAACUACGUG
rnacentral:rRNA from 1 species